rnacentral:rRNA from 1 species
UGUGCAAAGGUAGCAUAAUCAUUUGGCUUAUAAUUGAAGUCUGGUAUGAACGAAUUCAUGGGUAACAACUGUCUUUUGGAAUUAUAAUGAACUUAUUCAAUAAGUGAAAAUACUUAUAUAAACAUAUUAGACGAGAAGACCCUUGAAAUUUUAUAUAACAAGUAAACUUAACUUUAAUAUUUUGUUGGGGCGACAGAAUAACAAAUAACUUAUUUUAAAAUAUUUAAAUUAUAUUGUAAAAUAAAGUAAAUUACUCUAGGGAUAACAGCAUAAUGUAUUAAAGUUUGUGACCUCGAUGUUGGACUAGGAUCCUUAAUAACCAGAAGUUGUUAAGAUUAGCUCUGUUCGAGCUGGAUUUCCUACAUGAUCUGAGUUCAAAUCGA